GAUGAACGCUAGCUACAGGCUUAACACAUGCAAGUCGAGGGGCAGCGCAGUGUAGCAAUACAUGGGCGGCGACCGGCGCACGGGUGCGUAACGCGUAUCCAACCUUCCCGUUACUCAGGGAUAGCCUUCCGAAAGGGAGAUUAAUACCUGAUGGUGUUGAAAUUCCGCAUGUUAUUUCAACUAAAGAUUUAUCGGUAACGGAUGGGGAUGCGUGACACUAGAUAGUAGGCGGGGUAACGGCCCACCUAGUCUACGAUGUCUAGGGGUUCUGAGAGGAAGGUCCCCCACACUGGAACUGAGACACGGUCCAGACUCCUACGGGAGGGAGCAGUGAGGAAUAUUGGUAAAUGGUCGGAAGACUGGACCAGCCAAGUAGCGUGAAGGAUGAAGGUUCUAUGGAUUGUAAACUUCUUUUAUACGGGAAUAAAACCUCCCACGUGUGGGAGCUUGUAUGUACCGUAUGAAUAAGCAUCGGCUAACUCCGUGCCAGCCGCCGCCGUAACAC
rnacentral:rRNA from 1 species